CGCGAGAGUGACUUGCGGGCACCUCCGCGCUCCAAGUUUCAGGGAAGUGCGGUUCUAUUCGCUCACCGAACUUUCUCCACACAUCUUUGUAGACGUCGUAUCCCGUCGUCCAGUCAAGGACUUGUUUUCUAAUCUGUACCUUAAAAAAAACUUCCUCUGUGAGUUCUCUCCGGGACUCGCGCUUGGGAGACCGGCUAGGAAAAUCCCUCUUUUCAUUGGUUCUCGAGGUUGUCACUAUAGGCCUCCCUGGUGUCUGAUUGGUUCUUUUUUUUUUUUUUCUGAUUGGUUCUUGGGAACGAGGCUGCAAAUUUCCCCUAUGGAUCGAUCAGCUUGCGCUCAGCCUAGUGUGCGCUCUCCACACGGUUAGCUACCUAUUUCCACAGAAUCCGAAGUUAGCGCUCUGAGGUCGUGGUGACGCGGUCGGGAGCGUACGGUACUGCUGGCUUCUAGCCCUCGUGGUCUCACUUCACCGCCUCCUUCUACGGCCACCUGUCCUUCCAGGGGGUCUUUCUUGGAGCACCGUCACCUGGAGUCACCUGUAGAUUGAGGUGUGCAUGGCAACCCCCCCGCUCGCUGCGGGUGCUGGAAAAGGGAGGCGGGCCAAGGCCUCCGGCCCAAGAAAGUUGAGCAAGACCUGGCAACCUUCCCACAGAGGUGAUCAAUAAGUGCUUGUGGAAAGAACAAAUGAAUGGAUGGAUGGAGGAGGAGUCAGAAGGAGCACUCAGGAUGCCUUCCAGCUUUUCCGUGUGGGAGCAGGAAGUGAUGGUGAUCCUGGAGGAAGAGUCAACAUUCCGCUCUUUUGAGUUUAUUUAGAAGACACAGCUGCAUCAAGGUCCUGGUUCUAGCCUCUGGAGCACACUGGCUACCCUUCUGCAGGCCAAGAUCCAGUCCCUUCUUAAAGCUGAAUGUCCCCUAUUAUCUUGUAAGCGCCUUCACAGUCCACCCAUCCUCCCUAGGCACGAGGAAAUUAUUCACAUCCAUGUUCAGACCUGGUGGCCGGAUCUCCUCUC